rnacentral:rRNA from 1 species
AAAUUGAAGAGUUUGAUCAUGGCUCAGAUUGAACGCUGGCGGCAGGCCUAACACAUGCAAGUCGAACGGUAACAGGAAACAGCUUGCUGUUUCGCUGACGAGUGGCGGACGGGUGAGUAAUGUCUGGGAAACUGCCUGAUGGAGGGGGAUAACUACUGGAAACGGUAGCUAAUACCGCAUAACGUCGCAAGACCAAAGAGGGGGACCUUCGGGCCUCUUGCCAUCGGAUGUGCCCAGAUGGGAUUAGCUUGUUGGUGGGGUAACGGCUCACCAAGGCGACGAUCCCUAGCUGGUCUGAGAGGAUGACCAGCCACACUGGAACUGAGACACGGUCCAGACUCCUACGGGAGGCAGCAGUGGGGAAUAUUGCACAAUGGGCGCAAGCCUGAUGCAGCCAUGCCGCGUGUAUGAAGAAGGCCUUCGGGUUGUAAA